rnacentral:tRNA from 1 species
AGGACUGUAGCUCAAUUGGCAGAGCACCGGUCUCCAAAACCGGGGGUUGGGGGUUCGAUUCCCUCCAGUCCUG